UACAGAGGUGGCAAGCGUUGUUCGGAAUUACUGGGCGUAAAGGGCGCGUAGGCGGUCUUAUAAGUCUCGUGUGAAAUCCCUCGGCUUAACUGAGGAACUGCACGGGAUACUGCAAGACUUGAGAUCGGGAGAGGGAAGCGGAAUUCCGGGUGUAGCGGUGAAAUGCGUAGAUAUCCGGAGGAACACCGGUGGCGAAGGUGGCUUCCUGGACCGACACUGACGCUGAGGCGCGAAAGCUAGGGGAGCAAACGGG
rnacentral:rRNA from 1 species